rnacentral:rRNA from 1 species
CGGCGGACGGGUGAGUAAUGCCUAGGAAUCUGCCUGGUAGUGGGGGACAACGUUUCGAAAGGAACGCUAAUACCGCAUACGUCCUACGGGAGAAAGCAGGGACCUUCGGGCCUUGCGCUAUCAGAUGAGCCUAGGUCGGAUUAGCUAGUUGGUGAGGUAAUGGCUCACCAAGGCGACGAUCCGUAACUGGUCUGAGAGGAUGAUCAGUCACNCUGGAACUGAGACACGGUCCAGACUCCUACGGGAGGCAGCAGAC